UGUGUAGGCGGUUCUUUAAGUUUGGUGUGAAAUCUCCCGGCUCAACUGGGAGGGAGCGCCGAAUACUGAGGGACUAGAGUACGGGAGAGGAAAGUGGAAUUCCUGGUGUAGCGGUGAAAUGCGUAGAUAUCAGGAGGAACACCGGUGGUGUAGACGGCUUUCUGGACCGUAACUGACGCUGAUACACGAAGGCGUGGGUAGCAAACAGGAUUAGAUACCCUGGUAGUCCACGCCCUAAACGAUGCAUAUUUGGUGUGGGCAGUUCAUUCUGUCCGUGCCGGAGCUAACGCGUUAAAUAUGCCGCCUGGGGAGUACAGUCGCAAGGCUGAA
rnacentral:rRNA from 1 species